rnacentral:rRNA from 1 species
AUUGAACGCUGGCGGCAGGCCUAACACAUGCAAGUCGAGCGGAUGAAGGGAGCUUGCUCCUGGAUUCAGCGGCGGACGGGUGAGUAAUGCCUAGGAAUCUGCCUGGUAGUGGGGGAUAACGUCCGGAAACGGGCGCUAAUACCGCAUACGUCCUUAGGGAGAAAGUGGGGGAUCUUCGGACCUCACGCUAUCAGAUGAGCCUAGGUCGGAUUAGCUAGUUGGUGGGGUAAAGGCCUACCAAGGCGACGAUCCGUAACUGGUCUGAGAGGAUGAUCAGUCACACUGGAACUGAGACACGGUCCAGACUCCUACGGGAGGCAGCAGUGGGGAAUAUUGGACAAUGGGCGAAAGCCUGAUCCAGCCAUGCCGCGUGUGUGAAGAAGGUCUUCGGAUUGUAAAGCACUUUAAGUUGGGAGGAACGGCAGUAAGUUAAUACCUUGCUGUUUUGACGUUACCAACAGAAUAAGCACCGGCUAACUUCGUG